rnacentral:lncRNA from 1 species
AAAAAAAAAAAAAAAAAAAAAAAAAAAAGAAUUAGACAGAUCAAUAGAUAGCUAAGCGUCUGUUUUUUUUAUUAAUCUGAUCUUUUUUUUUUUUUUUUUUUAUUAUUCGUUUCUAAAAUCGUUAUUAUCAUGUACAUAUGACAUAUACAUGCAUGUGUGCAUACUUAUGCUAAGUGUUUUUUUUUUUUAAAUAAAUUUAGAAUACAUUUCGGAUAAAUUGGAUGCAUGUAUGUAUAUACAUAUGUAUAUACUGCAUAAUUUCAUUUUAUUUAGUACUUGUUCUUUUUUAUCAUAUAUACUUAUAGUGUCAAAAAAAAGAAAAAAAGAAAAAAAAAAACAUGUUCCAUACAAUUCAUUCUAUUACUAAUGAAGAAAAGAGUUUCGGAAUAAAUUUAAACGAAUUAAAAACAAUAGCUAAAAAAUAUAACUGGAUAGAAGACAAUAGUGAUAAGAUAAAUAAUUAUAUUUUUUCAAAAGAAAAUGUGAAAAUAAAAAUUUUAGGUUUACAAGGAUUAGUAACAAUAGAAAUUCAAUUAUCAUGUGAUGUGAAUUAUAAAAUGUGUAAAAGUAAUUUAAAAAAUUAUGAAAUAUGUGAACUAUUUAAAAAUACAAAUUAUAACUAUGAUAAUUAUAUUACAAAUGAAAGUGUUUUAAGUAAUAAUUUGAACCUAUCAGUAAAAGAAAAAAUAAAUCUUUUUAAUAAAAAAGACGCAUCGUUAUAUACAGAAAAAAAAGCAUACAAAGAUGUUUAUAAAAAGGAGAAUCUUAUUAAACAACAUAAUUAUAUUGCUAUAGAUAGCUAUAAUAACAAUAAUAUUACCAACGGUGAAAAAAGUAAUUACAAUAGUAACAAUCGUAAUGCGAAAUGCGACAAUAAUUGUGAAAACAGUUUUGAAAACAGUUGUGAUAGCAAUAACAAUUUGUUUAUAUCGCCUAAAAUUAAAAAAAAUAUUAAAAAGAAAGAAGGAACUAAAAUAAACAGUUAUGAAAAUCAUAAUGUAGAUUUUGAAAAAGAGAAAAAAAAAAAUACAUGCACAAUUUAUAUUAAUAAGAAUACACAAAAAGAUGUGAGUUUAAAAAAAAAACAAACAGUACAUGAUUUUUUAUCUAAAAACAAACAUAAAAAUAAAUAUAUAAAAAAUUCAAAUUUAACAUCAGAUGAUAUAAACACAAAAGAUAUAGUACUGAGUGAUGUAAUUAAUAAAAGCAAAAAUGCAAAUUAUUUAUUUUGCAUAAAAGAAACAAA